CAGCACCUCAAGUGGUCAGGAUGAUUAUUGGGCCUAAAGCAUCCGUAGCCGGCGCUGUAAGUUUUCGGUUAAAUCUGUACGCUCAACGUACAGGCUGCCGGGAAUACUGCAGCGCUAGGGAGUGGGAGAGGUAGACGGUACUCGGUAGGAAGGGGUAAAAUCCUUUGAUCUAUUGAUGACCACCUGUGGCAAAGGCGGUCUACCAGAACACGUCCGACGGUGAGGGAUGAAAGCUGGGGGAGCAAACCGGAUUAGAUACCCGAGUAGUCC
rnacentral:rRNA from 1 species